rnacentral:tRNA from 1 species
GCUUUCGUGGUGCAGUGGUCAGCACACUCGACGCGUAACCGAGAGAUCCGUGGUUCGAUUCCCGGGGAGAGCG